GACGAACCGUCCGAACGUUAUUCGGAAUCACUGGGCUUAAAGGGUGCGUAGGCGGCGCGGAAAGUUGGGUGUGAAAUCUCGGGGCUUAACUCCGAAACUGCAUUCGAUACUGCCGUGCUUGAGGACUGGAGAGGAGACUGGAAUUUACGGUGUAGCGGUGAAAUGCGUAGAUAUCGUAAGGAAGACCAGUGGCGAAGGCGGGUCUCUGGACAGUUCCUGACGCUGAGGCACGAAGGCCAGGGGAGCAAACGGG
rnacentral:rRNA from 1 species